AUGAAGCCCAGCUUGCUGGGUGGAUUAGUGGCGAACGGGUGAGUAACACGUGAGUAACCUGCCCUUAACUCUGGGAUAAGCCUGGGAAACUGGGUCUAAUACCGGAUAGGAGCGUCCACCGCAUGGUGGGUGUUGGAAAGAUUUAUCGGUUUUGGAUGGACUCGCGGCCUAUCAGCUUGUUGGUGAGGUAAUGGCUCACCAAGGCGACGACGGGUAGCCGGCCUGAGAGGGUGACCGGCCACACUGGGACUGAGACACGGCCCAGACUCCUACGGGAGGCAGCAGUGGGGAAUAUUGCACAAUGGGCGAAAGCCUGAUGCAGCGACGCCGCGUGAGGGAUGACGGCCUUCGGGUUGUAAACCUCUUUCAGUAGGGAAGAAGCGAAAGUGACGGUACCUGCAGAAGAAGCACCGGCUAACUACGUGCCAGCAGCCGCGGUAAUACGUAGGGUGCGAGCGUUAUCCGGAAUUAUUGGGCGUAAAGAGCUCGUAGGCGGUUUGUCGCGUCUGUCGUGAAAGUCCGGGGCUUAACCCCGGAUCUGCGGUGGGUACGGGCAGACUAGAGUGCAGUAGGGGAGACUGGAAUUCCUGGUGUAGCGGUGGAAUGCGCAGAUAUCAGGAGGAACACCGAUGGCGAAGGCAGGUCUCUGGGCUGUAACUGACGCUGAGGAGCGAAAGCAUGGGGAGCGAACAGGAUUAGAUACCCUGGUAGUCCAUGCCGUAAACGUUGGGCACUAGGUGUGGGGGACCAUUCCACGGUUUCCGCGCC
rnacentral:rRNA from 1 species